AACGCACAUUGCACUCUUUGGUAUUCCGGGGAGUAUGCUUGUUUGAGAACCGUGUUUUAUCCCCAUCACCUAGGUGAAACCCCAUGUUUUUUAAAGGGGUUAAAUCUAGGCGGAUUUGGCCUUUUUGAUUCCGUGAUACAAAUCGUUCCCCCCUCUUAAUUCGCGGUAGGCUAAAACACAGUUUGCUAGGUUUUUAACACCCUAAGACGUGAUCAAUGCGAGAUUUUCCUUCAUUUUAAACGUCGCUAAGGGUGGGUGUCUAGCUCCCACAGACCUGUCUUUGGUUUAACAAAGACCUCUUACUCUCUCUGGUCUCAAAUCAAGCAAGAAAACCCGCUGAACUUAA
rnacentral:misc_RNA from 1 species